rnacentral:rRNA from 1 species
GCAUUGGAGGGAGAGUGGCGAACGGGUGAGUAACACGUGGAUUAUCUGCCUUCAGGUUGGGGAUAACCACCCGAAAGGGUGGCUAAUACCGAAUAAUAUGGCAACAUUAAAGGUGGGGACUUUCGAGCCUAUCGCCUGAAGAUGAGUCCGCGGCCCAUUAGCUCGUUGGUAGGGUAAUGGCCUACCAAGGCUACGAUGGGUAGCCGGCCUGAGAGGGUGACCGGCCACAUUGGGACUGAGACACGGGCCAGACUCCUACGGGAGGCAGCAGUGAGGAAUAUUGCGCAAUGGACGAAAGUCUGACGCAGCGACGCCGCGUGGGCGAUGAAGGCCUUCGGGUCGUAAAGCCCUUUUCUGGGGGAAGAGAAAGGACGGUACCCCAGGAAUAAGCCCCGGCUAACUACGUGCCAGCAGCCGCGGUAAAACGUAGGGGGCAAGCGUUAUCCGGAUUUACUGGGCGUAAAGAGCGUUGAGGCGGUUUCGUAAGUUGGGCGUGAAAGCCCUGGACUUAACUCAGGGAAGCCGUUCAAUACUGCGAAACUUGAGGGCAGCAGAGGGAGGUGGAAUUCCCGGAGUAGCGGUGAAAUGCGUAGAUAUCGGGAGGAACACCAGUGGCGAAGGCGGCCUCCUGGGCUGCUCCUGACGCUGAAGGCGAAAGCUAGGGGAGCAAACGGGAUUAGAAACCCCGGUAGUCCUAGCUGUAAACGAUGGAUGCUAGGUGUGGGGGGUGUAGAUUCCCUCCGUGCCGCAGUUAACGCGUUAAGCAUCCCGCCUGGGGAGUACGGCCGCAAGGCUAAAACUCAAACGAAUUGACGGGGGCCCGCACAAGCAGCGGAGCGUGUGGUUUAAUUCGAUGCUACACGAAGAACCUUACCUGGGCUUGACAUACAGGUAGUAGUGAAGUGAAAGCGGAUCGACCCUUCGGGGAGCCUGUACAGGUGCCGCAUGGCUGUCGUCAGCUCGUGCCGUGAGGUGUCGGGUUAAGUCCCGUAACGAGCGCAACCCUUGCUCUUAGUUAUACGUGUCUAAGAGGACUGCCGGCGGUAAGCCGGAGGAAGGUGGGGAUGACGUCAAGUCAGCAUGGCCUUUAUGUCCAGGGCUACACACACGCUACAAUGGCCGGUACAAUGGGUAGCUAAACCGCGAGGUGGAGCCAAUCCUGUAAAGCCGGUCUCAGUUCGAAUUGCAGGCUGCAACUCGCCUGCAUGAAGUCGGAGUUGCUAGUAAUCGCAGGUCAGCAAUACUGCGGUGAAUACGUUCCCGG